rnacentral:rRNA from 1 species
AUUGAACGCUGGCGGCAGGCCUAACACAUGCAAGUCGAGCGGAUGAAGGGAGCUUGCUCCUGGAUUCAGCGGCGGACGGGUGAGUAAUGCCUAGGAAUCUGCCUGGUAGUGGGGGAUAACGUCCGGAAACGGGCGCUAAUACCGCAUACGUCCUGAGGGAGAAAGUGGGGGAUCUUCGGACCUCACGCUAUCAGAUGAGCCUAGGUCGGAUUAGCUAGUUGGUGGGGUAAAGGCCUACCAAGGCGACGAUCCGUAACUGGUCUGAGAGGAUGAUCAGUCACACUGGAACUGAGACACGGUCCAGACUCCUACGGGAGGCAGCAGUGGGGAAUAUUGGACAAUGGGCGAAAGACUGAUCCAGCCAUGCUGCGUGUGUGAAGAAGGUCUUCGGAUUGUAAAGCACUUUAAGUUGGGAGGAAGGGCAGUAAGUUAAUACCUUGCUGUUUUGACGUUACCAACAGAAUAAGCACCGGCUAACUUCGUG